UUGGAGGGCAAGUCUGGUGCCAGCAGCCGCGGUAAUUCCAGCUCCAAUAGCGUAUAUUAAAGUUGUUGCAGUUAAAAAGCUCGUAGUUGAAUUUCGGGAUCAAUGUUUCGGUCAUGCCGUUGGUAUGUACUGAUAUUAUUGGUUUCUCACCUUCUAAAGAACCGUAAUGCCAUUAAUUUGGUGUCACGGGGAAUUAGGACUGUUACCUUGAAAAAAUUAGAGUGUUUAAAGCAGGCUCACGCUUGAAUACAUUAGCAUGGAAUAAUGAAAUAGGACAUCCGAUUCUAUUUUGUUGGUUUCUAGGAUCGAUGUAAUGAUUAAUAGGGAUAGUUGGGGGCAUUAGUAUUCAAUUGUCAGAGGUGAAGUUCUUGGAUUUAUUGAAGACUAACUACUGCGAAAGCAUUUGCCAAGGAUGUUUUCAUUAAUCAAGAACGAAAGUUAGGGGAUCGAAGACGAUCAGAUACCGUCGUAGUCUUAACCAUAAACUAUGCCGACUAGGGAUCGGAUGAUGUUAAUUUUUUAAUGACUCAUUCGGCACCUUACGGGAAACCAAAG
rnacentral:rRNA from 1 species